GCCAGGCAUUCCUGGGGAGUUCCGUCACUUUCAAGUGGGAAAGCUGGAAGAUGGGGCUCAUUUCUCUGUAACUUGGUCUCCUUGGCAGGGCUUCCUCAGAAUGUUGUGACAGCGGCGAAACGCCACGCAGUUGUUAGUGUCCUGAGAACGCUUCACUCGGACUGACCUGCUUCCCCUUCUCCUCCACCCUGAACUCCUGCUCCUGCUCAGACAGCAAGUAUAAAAUGAGAAACAAAAGACCACAAGGCCUCCACCUGGUGGUGCUGGUCAGAACCGGAGGAGAAGUGGACCCAGAGUUCUUGGAGCCCUUGGGACCUGACUGUGACGUUCUUCCAGGCAUUAAAAUAGAGUCGGGGACAGACUUGUUAAGUCAUGCAGCCUGGUCAUCGGAUCCCCACGGCCAUUCCCUGGAGUAUUUCUGGUGCCCUGACUCGCCUGGGUUUGAAUCAUAA